GGUGCCCAUUUAAUUAAAAAAAGAACCGCUCGUAUUUCUUCUUCUUCUUCUUCUUUUCUUUCCCCCUGCUUUUCAUUUUCGGUUUUCCCUAACUCUCGUUUUCGCCCUUCUCUUAGCUUCGACCACCUCUGAAGUUCCACCUUUCUCCAUAUUUCUCCUCCAUUACGCGUGCUCGUAGUUCUCCAUUGAAGCGCAUUAUGAGCUUUGUCCAUAUCACUCCUCCACUACGCGUACUAUUAAUUCUCCACUGAAGCGUAUUCGAGCUUUCUCACCUCCAUUGAAGCAGCUUCGAGAUAAUGCAUUGACAUUAAAAAGUACCGCAAAUGAAGGUUGAACUAGAUAUUGGAUAGGGGCCGCGCAAACGCAUGCCCUCUCUAUCACAAAUUAUGAUGUACACUCUUCCUCUUGGGAAGAUGUUAUGCAGGCACCCCUUCCUAAUGUGCAAUGGAGACCACCCGCCUAGGCCAUGAGUCUUCUAGGUCACCCAUUGAACCCGUCCAGAAUCAAAAUGCUCACUCUGCUAUAUUGAGACAGCUGAAUUUACUCGAGUAAGAUAUUCUUUCUCAUACCCCUGCUUUGUAUGUAUUGGCUCAACUACAAGAUAUAUUUCAUGUUAACUUUGGUCUUGAGGUUUCGCUUGUUUCUUAAUCAGACCUUUAGCAAGUAUAAAGGCACCUUACUUCUAGGAAGGGUACUUUAAACAAGGACCGGGACAAAAGAUUCUCCAUAAAACCCGGAAACACAAAACACAAAACAAGGAACACAAAACAAAAAACACAGCAAGCCCAUAUACACAGGAGGCCAAAACAACACCUACACACAUCUAGCAAACACACCAUAAACAACAACACCCAAUCAAAAACAGACCAGCAGGCCACCAAAACAGCAGCACCAUCCCACACAACUACUGCUCAGAACCCAAACAGCAGCCCAACCAGUACAGAGCAGACAUCAACAAGCCCUGUAGGAAAACAGGCAGACAGACAGCACCAGCUGAGCAUAAAGUCAAAGGAGACAGACUCUAAAUCCAUGAGCAGCAGCUCCCAGCAAGUCCUGACAGAGACAGCAGCCUGCACAGAAAACAGACACAUCUGCAUCACCACCAAGAACCAGCCUAGCAACACAGCAUCUCAGCAUCACAACUCCCUAGAAAACCAGCAACAUGGCUGCAAAAGGAAAACAGACAGCAGCACAGUAGUAUCAACACUGUAAUCUCAAGUGUGUUUUUUUUUUUAGUUUUUUAAAGUGUAAUAUUACAAGUUAUUGAAUAAAAUA